UACGGAGGGAGCUAGCGUUGUUCGGAAUUACUGGGCGUAAAGCGCACGUAGGCGGCUAUUCAAAUCGGGGGUGAAAGCCCGGGGCUCAACCCCGGAACUGCCCUCGAAACUAGAUAGCUAGAAUCUUGGAGAGGCGAGUGGAAUUCCGAGUGUAGAGGUGAAAUUCGUAGAUAUUCGGAAGAACACCAGUGGCGAAGGCGACUCGCUGGACAAGUAUUGACGCUGAGGUGCGAAAGCGUGGGGAGCAAACAGG
rnacentral:rRNA from 1 species